UACGUAGGGUGCAAGCAUUAAUCGGAUUUAUUGGGCGUAAAGGGCGCGUAGGCGGGAAUGACAGUCAGAUGUGAAAUCCCAGAGCUCAACUCUGGAACUGCAUUUGAAACUACAUUCCUCGAGGGUAGGCGGAGAAAACGGAAUUCCACAAGUAGCGGUGAAAUGCGUAGAUAUGUGGAAGAACACCAGUGGCGAAGGCGGUUUUCUAGCUUACACCUGACGCUGAGGCGCGAAAGUAAGGGGAGCAAACAGG
rnacentral:rRNA from 1 species